CUUGAGCAAGCCAUGGUGAACAUCAGCUCCUGCCUCCAGGAUCCUGACCUGUUUGAGUUCCUGUCCUGACUUCAUUCAAUAAUGAACAACAAUACUGAAGUGAGACUGGACUCCAAGGAAUAGAUUCAGAUGGCAGCAGGUAGAGGAGACUUCCACACACUCAGUGAGGAUGCCUGGGGUCAGAGCCACCCUGUGGGGCACUGUACUAACAUCAGUCAACAGCAGAACAGGUGUGUCAAGUUGCUAUCCAAGAUGAGCCGUCACAGGUGUCUUCAGGAAGCCAGAGGGAGGACUGGGUUAUUGACCCUGCCCUGCACAACGACCUCAAAACAUACUGCCCAGGAGGGCACUGAAAGGAAAUGAGUUUUUCCCCUCCUAACUUAUGCCGGGAGGGAAGCAGGCAGAGAUCACAGCAGGCAAGUGGGGACUACAGCAGGGCAGAGUGGAUGGAUGUCUGUAGUCGUCUCGUAAAAUGACCCAACAAGGGAUGGUAGAAAUGGCCAAGCCGACAAAAGUGCUCGCCAUCAAGCCUGAUCCCCAGGACUGCAUGAUGGCAGGAGAUGGAAGUCCUACAAGUUGCUCUCUGACCUCUCCAAAUGUGCACCAUGGCACCUCCCCCACAACCAAUCAAUUGA